UACAGAGGUCCCGAGCGUUGUUCGGAUUCACUGGGCGUAAAGGGUGCGUAGGUGGCAUGGCAAGUUUGAUGUGAAAGCUCAGGGCUUAACCCUGAAAUGGCAUUGAAUACUGCUGGGCUGGAGGUUUGGAGGGGGGACUGGAAUUCUUGGUGUAGCAGUGAAAUGCGUAGAUAUCAAGAGGAACACCAGUGGCGAAGGCGAGUCCCUGGACAACACCUGACACUGAGGCACGAAAGCCGGGGGAGCAAACAGG
rnacentral:rRNA from 1 species